rnacentral:rRNA from 1 species
GUGAGGAAUAUUGCGCAAUGGAGGCAACUCUGACGCAGCCAUGCCGCGUGCAGGAAGAAGGCGCUACGCGUUGUAAACUGCUUUUAACCGGGAAGAAACCCCAGGACGUGUCCUGGGUUGACGGUACCGGAGGAAUAAGCACCGGCUAACUUCGUGCCAGCAGCCGCGGUAAUACGAAGGGUGCAAGCGUUAUCCGGAUUCAUUGGGUUUAAAGGGUGCGUAGGCGGAGCGUUAAGUCAGUGGUGAAAUCCUGCAGCUUAACUGUAGACUUGCCAUUGAUACUGGCGCUCUUGAGUGCGCUUGAAGUGGGCGGAAUGUGCCAUGUAGCGGUGAAAUGCUUAGAUAUGGCACAGAACACCAAUUGCGAAGGCAGCUCACUAAGGCGAUACUGACGCUGAGGCACGAAAGCGUGGGGAUCGAACAGGAUUAGAAACCCGAGUAGUCC